AGCGAACGCUGGCGGCAGGCUUAACACAUGCAAGUCGAGCGGGCCUUUCGGGGUCAGCGGCGGACGGGUGAGUAACGCGUGGGAACGUGCCCUCUGGUUCGGAAUAACUCAGGGAAACUUGAGCUAAUACCGGAUACGCCCUUUUGGGGAAAGGCUUGCUGCCGGAGGAUCGGCCCGCGUCUGAUUAGCUAGUUGGUGAGGUAACGGCUCACCAAGGCGACGAUCAGUAGCUGGUCUGAGAGGAUGAUCAGCCACACUGGGACUGAGACACGGCCCAGACUCCUACGGGAGGCAGCAGUGGGGAAUAUUGGACGAUGGGCGCAAGCCUGAUCCAGCCAUGCCGCGUGAGUGAUGAAGGCCUUAGGGUUGUAAAGCUCUUUUAUCCGGGACGAUAAUGACGGUACCGGAGGAAUAAGCCCCGGCUAACUUCGUG
rnacentral:rRNA from 1 species